rnacentral:lncRNA from 1 species
AACUACAAUAUACCAAGGCUUACUACUUUUAUCUUAAUUCAACACAUAAUUCAUUCUACGACUAUCAAUUCAACAAUACUUUCAUAUUCUUAUCAGUUCAUCUCCCACUUACUCUCUUUGCAGUUUAUAUAUAUUCAAUUAUUGAUCUCCAUCUUACUUAUUAUAUUUAGUUUUUCAAUUCAUCAAACAAAAUUCAAUAUCUUCCCUUAACACAACACAAUUCGAUAUCUCAAUUCUCAAGGUCACAAAUUUUCUCCAAAACGGUCAGUCCAAAGUCAUAUUCCACAAUAUUCUAAUCACAAUUUCAAUAAUACUUCU